rnacentral:rRNA from 1 species
CCUACGGUGGGCAGCAGUAGGGAAUAUUGCUCAAUGGGGGAAACCCUGAAGCAGCAACGCCGCGUGGGGGAUGAAGGUUUUAGGUUUGUAAACUCCUUUUUUUAGAGAAGAUUAUGACGGUAUCCAACCACUAAUCCCCGGCUAACUCCGUGCCAGCAGCCGUGGUUAUACGGAGGGUGCAAGCGUUAUUCGGAAUCACUGGGCGUAAAGAGUGCGUAGGCGGGGUAAUAAGUCAGAUGUGAAAUCCUGUAGCGUAACUACAGAACUGCAGUUGAAACUGUUACUCUGGAGUGUGGGAGAGGUAGGUGGAAUUCUUGGUGUAGGGGUAAAAUCCGUAGAGAUCGAGAGGAAUACUCAUUGCGAAGGCGACCUGCUGGAACAUUACUGACGCUGAGGCACGAAAGCGUGGGGAGCAAACAGGAUUAGAUACCCUGGUAGUC